rnacentral:rRNA from 1 species
GACGAACCGUGCGAACGUUAUUCGGAAUCACUGGGCUUAAAGCGCGUGUAGGCGGAAAAGCACGUCGGUCGUUGAAAUCCCCCGGCUCAACCGGGGAACGGGCGCCGAUACGGCUUUUCUGGAGGAACGUAGGGGGACCUGGAACUUCCGGUGGAGCGGUGAAAUGCGUUGAGAUCGGAAGGAACGCCCGUGGCGAAAGCGAGGUCCUGGACGUUUUCUGACGCUGAGACGCGAAAGCCAGGGGAGCAAACGGG